rnacentral:rRNA from 1 species
GACAGAGGAGCCAAGCGUUGUCCGGAUUGACUGGGCGUAAAGCGCACGCAGGCGGAUGCGCGCGUGGGGUGUGAAAUCUGGCCGCUUAACGGCCAGGCGCCAUCCCAUACGGCGCGUCUGGAGUGAUGCAGAGGUCGAUGGAAUUGCCGGUGUAGUGGUGAAAUGCGUAGAGAUCGGCAGGAACACCCAGGGGGAAACCAGUCGACUG